GACCUGAAAAAUACAGUAAUUAUCUUUGUUACUUCUCUUGUUCUGGGGCAAAACAUCUGACACCCAAAAUUAAAGGAGGAGAGGUUUAUUGUAGUUCACAGUUUGUAGAGGUUUCCAUUUAUGGUUGGUUGUCUCCAAGGCAAGCUGGCAUGGCAGAGGGACAUUGCAGAGGAGAAACAGUUCAUGGCAGGCAGAAGGCAGCCAAGCAGCAAAGCAGCAAAGAAGCAGCAAGUGACAAGCAGGAACAACAACAGCCCUCUUUCUGUCCCUUAUAUCUGAUCCAGGCAAUCCACCCUGAGGGCAGGUAACACUCACACCCAGGGUGGAGCACCUUUAAUCCUAGCAUCACACCAUGAAUCAAUUCCAGAAUCACAUCCUUAAUCCUAGCAUCACAUACUCUAGAUCCAGCCACCUCUGAAAAGCUCCACCUAUGACUGCAUGAGGCUUUGGGGGGAUAUCUAGAUAAAAGCCAUAACAGUAAUCAAAUCAAAAUAAAAGGCUUAGUAGAUGGGUUGAGCAGCAGAAUGGCAUAAAUAAACUGGAAGAUAGAAAAAUAGAAAUUACCCAAUAUGAACAAUAGACCAAAAGGAGAUGGGAAAAAAAGUGAACAGAGCCUCAGAGACCUGUGGGAUUGUAACAAAAGACUGAACACUUGUAAUAUUAAAGUUCCAGAAGGUGAAGGAAAAGAGAUUGGUGUCAAAAAGAACUUAAAGAAAUAAUGGGAGAUAACUUUUCAAAAUUGGUGAGAGAUAUAAAUCUACUAAUUCAAGAUACAAAAUGAAUUCCAAAUGGGAAAACUUCAAAGAAAUCCAUCAAAAUAGAACAUACUUAAACUUCCGUAAUGACAAAGAGAAUAUCUUGAAAGCAGCCAAUGGAAUAUGAUACCUUAUCUAUAGGAGGAAACAAACAAAAUGAUUUGGAUGACAGCAUACAUCUCACAGAACCUAUGAAAAAAAUGGCAUGAUGUCUUUCAAGUGCUGAAAGAAUGGUCAACACAGAUUCCUACACCUGGUGGGAAGAUACCAAGAUAGUCUCAGAUGAAGAAAAACUAAAAUAAAUUUGUUACCAUGAGAGCUAUCCUAUGGGAAUGGCUAGAGGAAGUUCAUCAAAUAGAGAAAAGAAACAAUAGAAAGAACCUUGGAACAUUAGGAAGGAAAAAAUAACAUGGAAUCCUGCCACAUCUGAGCCACGAUGAACCCCGGGAUCUCCACAAGGCCACUUAAAGCCCUAACUGCCUACAAUCAUCCUCUGGACACUCACUCUCCUGGAUCUGGUCCUGACCUCUGAGAUCCAGCACUUGACACCUGUGUACCCAUCAUUCCUCCCGGCCUAAUGUUUUCUGAGCCCGAAGCCACCUCCUCCAAGGAGCCGGCUGCCGUCAGUUGCACCUGCCCGGCCGGCCGUUCAGGCUUGGACCUGCAGUCCUCGCGGGGCUUGGAGCUCCAGAAGGCCAGAGCUGGGUCUCCUCACGGGGCUCCCAUGGAGCCGGCUCCCCAAACACACCAGGGGGCUCAGCCUGUGUGGCCUUUCUUCCAGGGCCAAGGGCGCCCCACUCCCUGGACUUUUCCUCCGUGAGCUCUGCUUCCCUUUCCUCUUCUCCUACCUCCUGCCUCUCAUCCUCCUU
ensembl:lncRNA